UCGAGAAUUUUUCUCAAUGGGGGAAACCCUGAAGGAGCGACGCCGCGUGGAGGAUGACGGUCUUCGGAUUGUAAACUCCUGUCAUGAGGGAACAAACCUACGCCAGUAACUACGGCGGAACUGAUAGUACCUCAAGAGGAAGAGACGGCUAACUCUGUGCCAGCAGCCGCGGUAAUACAGAGGUCUCAAGCGUUGUUCGGAUUCAUUGGGCGUAAAGGGUGCGUAGGCGGCGAGGUAAGUCAGAUGUGAAAUCCCGGGGCUCAACCCCGGAACUGCAUUUGAUACUGCUUUGCUUGAGGACUGGAGAGGAGAUCGGAAUUCACGGUGUAGCAGUGAAAUGCGUAGAUAUCGUGAGGAAGGCCAGUGGCGAAGGCGGAUCUCUGGACAGUUCCUGACGCUGAGGCACGAAGGCCAGGGGAGCAAACGGGAUUAGAUACCCCCGUAGUCC
rnacentral:rRNA from 1 species